UUUAGUUUAAUUUCAGUAACUUUAUAGUUUUGUCGUGAUUUUGUCAUGUUUAUGCAUUUGUUUUUCUUUAAAUGUCUUAUUUUAGUUUUAGUAAUAUUUUGAAUGAGUAUGAGUAUGAAUGAGAUGUAUUUUUAUAUUUUCUGUUUUCACGUUUGUUAAAGCUAAUUUUGUUGUUUUGAAGUUAUUUAUUUAUUUUUUAACUGUAUGACAUUUUUAUUUAUUUGUUAUUACAGUUAGGCAAAUCAAAAAUGAAGUAAAUUUUUUAUAUUUUAUUUUAAUAUUUAGUUUACAUUUCUUUUAUUUCGUUGUAGUUAACUAUAAUAACUGCUAACGAAAGCUUGUCCAGUGCAUCACAAGCCUGCGGUCCUGUUAUAUCACGCUCAGUUAAUGCUGUAUUGUAUGGCCGCUCUGAUGCAUGUUGGAACUCAGUGAUGCAUGACAGCUUCUGCGUUUAGCUACAGGAUUCUGUUGAAAUAGUUUCAUCAUUAUUUAGUGAUCUGAGUUUAAUCGUGCUCUCUGCUGUUUGAGCAGCUCAAAGACAAGGAACGACAGAUCAUCAAGGACAAAUUCAAGGGUUUUAAUGACGGUCUGGAUGAGCUGUGUAAGAUCCAGCAGGGCUGGGCGGUUCCUGAUAAAGAGCAGCGGGACGCCAUCCGUCAGGCUCAGAAGAGAGUGGUUUCUGAGGCUUAUAGAGCCUUCCUGCAGCGAUGCGCAAACAUUUCAUUCACCAAAAAUCCAGAGAAAUAUCACCGAUACACACCGGAGCAGGUGGAGAAGAUGAUUGACAAGCUCUUCGACACUUCUGCCUAGGCCACUCCCGCUCUGUCACCAUAGCGACGGAGUCUCUGGUUUCCUUGGCGACAAACCUGCUUCUUUGCCCUGUAAGACGGUCUGCUUCAUCACACACUACACGACGUGGAACGUCUUCGUUCAUUUUUGCUUGCUUUUUGUAUAAAUGUAUUUAUGUAUGUUUUUUGGGGAUUUAACGGCAGUAAAUAAAGAGAAUUCAGUUUCUUCA
ensembl:lncRNA